CAUAGGCCAGCUGGCCCCCAGGCUGUGCUAGGCGAGUAUCUCUUCGAAAGGCUCACCCAUAAGCAUGUCUAGGAGC
rnacentral:pre_miRNA from 1 species